rnacentral:tRNA from 1 species
GCCGAGUUGUUCAUGACGCGUCGACUUUGGGCGCAUUCGUAGUGCGUAGGUCGCAGGUUCGACUCCUGUUUUCGGCA